rnacentral:rRNA from 1 species
UACGUAGGGGGCAAGCGUUGUCCGGAUUUAUUGGGCGUAAAGAGCGUGUAGGCGGCCAUACAGGUCCGUUGUGAAAACUGGAGGCUUAACCUCCAGACGUCGAUGGAAACCGUAUGGCUAGAGUCCGGAAGAGGAGAGUGGAAUUCCCGGUGUAGUGGUGAAAUGCGUAGAUAUCGGGAGGAACACCAGUGGCGAAGGCGACUACCUGGCCUGUUCUUGACGCUGAGGCGCGAAAGCUAGGGGAGCAAACGGG